rnacentral:rRNA from 1 species
GACGAACGCUGGCGGCGUGCUUAACACAUGCAAGUCGAACGGAAAGGCCCUGUUUUCGUUGUGGGCUCGGGUGGCUCACGGGUGAAUCGCACGUGUAUAACCUGCCCUAUCCUUUGGCAACUCUUGAGGAAGCUGGGGCAAAUGCCGGAUAUUAGCUCCUGCUGCGCGGUGUGGUUUGGAUAGUGUGGGCGGUUGGUGUUGGACUUGGGGCUUAUCGGCUUGUUGGUGGGGUAGUGGCUUAGGAAGGCUUUGACCGGUGGCGGGCCGGAGAGGGUGCCCGGCCACAUUGGGCCUGAGACACGGGCAAGACGCAUACGGGAGGCAGGAGUGGGGAAUAGUGCACAAAGGGCGGAAGCCUGAUGCAGCAACGCCGGGUGCGGGAUGACGGCCUUCGGGUUGUAAACCGCUUUCGCCUGGGACGAAGCGGGAGUGACGGUAAUGGGUAAAGAAGCACCGGCUAACUACGUG